UACGUAGGGGGCUAGCGUUGUCCGGAAUCAUUGGGCGUAAAGAGCGUGUAGGCGGCCCGGUAAGUCCGCUGUGAAAGUCGGGGGCUCAACCCUGGGAUGCCGGUGGAUACUGUCGGGCUCGAGUCCGGAAGAGGCGAGUGGAAUUCCUGGUGUAGCGGUGAAAUGCGCAGAUAUCAGGAGGAACACCAAUGGCGAAGGCAGCUCGCUGGGACGUGACUGACGCUGAGACGCGAAAGCGUGGGGAGCAAACAGG
rnacentral:rRNA from 1 species